GUUUGUAAUUAUGUUACUAAAAGUAUAAUAAAAUCUUCCCAACAUUCCUCUAACGUCUGCCUUAUGUAACACCUCUGAGUGAGGGAGAAGGCGUCUUUUCACUUCUGUCAGUUCACUCUGUCCUUAGUUAAGUUAAAAAAAAUGUGAAAAAAAAACUUUUGCAAAACUCUGCACAGAAGCUGAUGUUGUAACAGACAUGAAAUAUCUCUAAACUAUCGCUGCUUUGCUUAGGCUAGCUUCCUUCGUGCUAUCUAGGUCUGCUGUUGGCUGCUGCUGUCGCAUGGCAAAGUAAACACAGCACAACAGAACUGAAUGUAUCGGACCGAGGUUCGAUUCAUAUUCCUCGAGGUCCAGCGAACCUCUUUGGGUUCAUAUCAGGGCGUUAUCGAAUCCAAACAUCGAUCUCUAAUCCACAGACAUCUGCAUUUACACACACACACACACACACACACACACACACACACACACACGAUGAAAAUAAAGCUUCUUUGUCGCAGCUGCUAAUAAGCCACUUCUGAUGUAAAGUAAUGGGGCUUGUGUGUCUGACUCCCUCUGUACAUGUUAUCAGCAUGUCUGAAUCCACCAUGCUGCCUUUCUGAGAUGCAUAAACCCUUAAACCAGUGAGAAGAAAUGAGCGAAGCCGCUGAAGCAUGAAGUGCCCGCAGAGCUGACAGCACUGCAGACUCCUCUACAUUUUAAACAGGAAGAUGACAAAGUCCUUACGCAGGCUAAACAUGCUGGAAAAGGUAAAGUUCUCAUACCAGCUGAAAGUCAUUCUAAUAUCUUAUUGAGAGUCCCAUCAAGUGGAGAGUGUUUCUUAAGGCUCUAUCAAACAGCUCUCAACCUUGGGCUAUAUUUGUCUUCUGACCUUUCUGCCCAGCUCCAGGCUAGAUUCUGUGUCCAGUCCCUCUUCACUGAAUGUCAUCAUCCCAACUUCAGAGAGCAGCUCUCAGUGGGACAGAAAAAUCUAGUGGAAAAUGACCUUGAAGUUUUAGGAUAUUCAAAAUAUCUCAAAUUAUGAACAUGACGUGGCCGUCUCUUUUCAGAGACUUCUCUUCUUUCUCUAAGAGCUCUUGUGUGUGAUUUAUGAGAGCCUGUGACAGAGACAAUAUUUUCUUUGCAAUAUAGGCAUGAAAAAUGGGAGACUGAGGUUUGUUGCUGCUUUAGGCUGCACAUAUAUCUGUUUUCACCAGACCAUUUACUGUGAUUUAAAAAAAAACAAAAACAAAGAAAUAACCAAAAAGAGAAAAAUGAAAAUAACUUUGGUAGGGAAAAUUGUGCUGUUGGGCCCACAAAAAUUUUUCUAUGUUGCCAAUUAGUUACAUUUAAAAUACAACUUUACAACAGCCCAUGUUAAAAAUUAGUCAUCUAGGUCCACCAAUACUCCUUUUAUGAGCUCAUACUCACAGCUAAUAAAGAGAUCACAACCACCGUUUUCUGAUGGGAAUGCAGUGAUCCUGGUCAUCAAACCAACCUUACAGUCAUUCCAGGUUUCUGCUUCAGUCUCAUCACCAUCUCUUACCCUGUAAAACUGUCAGUCAGCUUCAUCUGCAAGCGUGGAUAAAGCUCGUCAGUAGUUACGUUUUCCAUCUCAGGGAACAAAACCAAUUAGUGUGACAGUUGGGCGCAGAGCUAUGCCUCAAGUUUCAAAACUCUUUGUUUUGCAGUCAUGUUAAGAAAAAUAUAAUCUCACCCACUGACCCAUGUCAGCUCAGGUCAGACGGAGAGGAAUCUUUACAGGAUGCUACACAGUUGUUGAGAUUAAUUUCUCCCCAGGCUCUACAAAUCAGAACGUGCACCGCCUUGAUUGUGUUUCCAGAAGUGUUGUUUGCUUGUUUAUCUCAGUGCAUGAAGCAUGAAUUUUUUAGGUUUUACUGGCAAUUUUCAAACAGAAAGAGUCCCAGAGAGAGAAUGUAAAAAUCACAGCAGAAUGACCGGCAGAGAGACCAGACACAAAUGACUCUUGUGAAACU
ensembl:lncRNA